UCCCACAGAUCCCCCGCCGUGCUCGAGCGCGAGCGCCUCCUCACUCCCUCGUCCAAGAAGCAGGCACGAGCAGGCGCCCCUCUCCCGUAGCUCGAAUUUGAGUGAGUCGAGUGAGCGCUUCCUCGCACCCUCGUCCACGAAGGAGGCAGCUCUCAAGGGCCCUUUUUCCCCGCAGCGAACCCAGUGGGUCGGGCCAAACCCCCGCCGGCGAUCUGCAGCAGGACCCCGCUGGAAGUACCAACUCCAACACAACAAUGGCGCCGCCCAUGGAUCUCAGAACUGCCGCUGUCACGCCCGCGUCAUUCGGAACCUUCACCGACACAUGCCAUCGCGAUCUUGCAUGUGCGUGUCAGCACCACAACAAUGGCGCUGCCCAGAUCUCAGAACUCUCGUCGUCAUGCCCGCGUCAUUCGUCGGAAUCUUCACCGACGCCCGUCGUCGCGAUUCUGCAUGUGCGUGUCAGCGGGAGCAUCUCCCACGUUGGCCUCGACCGCCCCUCGCCGUCUCCCUCUCUUUGAGUCACAGGCCGACGGCGAGCUCGUGGCAUGAAGGCCCGACGGCCAUGGCUUCCUGCGAAGGAGAGAGAGAGAGAAAGAGAGGGAGGUGAGAGAUAGAAGUGGAGGGCCAGGAGGGAAGGAGAGGAGGGCAGGGUUGGCGCCUUAGUCCGACGGCGGCGCUCUGGUGGCUGGCCGGCGCGGGGCGGCGGGGAGGCUCGAGCGCGAGCCCGCGCGUGAAGGCGCUGGGCGCGGUCGGCGGUGGCGGACGCAGGAUCGCGGGUUGAAUGCAAAUAAACAAAGGGUGUUUUUGUAAAAAUGAAACGUUUUCUUAGGUCCAUUUAAAAUAGAACUGCGGGUUGAAUAUCUAAAAA